GCCUGCGGUGGCUCAGUUGGAUAGAGCGUCUGCCAUGUAAGCAGGAGAUCCUGGGUUCGAGUCCCGGUCGGGGCA
rnacentral:tRNA from 1 species